rnacentral:sRNA from 1 species
CAAAUCAGUUACCCGCAGUUACUUCUGGGUCCACUGUCACGUUUGACAUUGAAGCCGUGACUCUAGGAACCACCAGUAAUAAUGAAGGUGGACACUUCAAGCUUCGA